GAGCGAACGCUGGCGGCAGGCCUAACACAUGCAAGUCGAACGGAUCCUUCGGGAUUAGUGGCGGACGGGUGAGUAACACGUGGGAACGUGCCCUUUGGUUCGGAACAACUCAGGGAAACUUGAGCUAAUACCGGAUGUGCCCUUCGGGGGAAAGAUUUAUCGCCAUUGGAGCGGCCCGCGUCUGAUUAGCUAGUUGGUGAGGUAACGGCCCACCAAGGCGACGAUCAGUAGCUGGUCUGAGAGGAUGAUCAGCCACACUGGGACUGAGACACGGCCCAGACUCCUACGGGAGGCAGCAGUGGGGAAUCUUGCGCAAUGGGCGAAAGCCUGACGCAGCCAUGCCGCGUGAAUGAUGAAGGUCUUAGGAUUGUAAAAUUCUUUCAGCGGGGACGAUAAUGACGGUACCCGCAGAAGAAGCUCCGGCUAACUUCGU
rnacentral:rRNA from 1 species